rnacentral:rRNA from 1 species
GACGGAGGAUGCAAGCGUUAUCCGGAAUGAUUGGGCGUAAAGCGUCCGCAGGUGGCAGUUCAAGUCGGGUGUGAAAACUCCGGGCUCAACUCGGAGACGCCACUCGAUACUGCCAUGACUCGAGUCCGGUAGGGGAGUGCGGAAUUCCUGGUGUAGCGGUGAAAUGCGCAGAUAUCGGGAGGAACACCGGUGGCGAAGGCGGUUCUCUGGGCCUGUACUGACGCUGAGGAGCGAAAGCGUGGGGAGCGAACAGG